GUGAACGCUGGCGGUAGGCCUAACACAUGCAAGUCGAACGGCAGCACAGUAAGAGCUUGCUCUUACGGGUGGCGAGUGGCGGACGGGUGAGGAAUACAUCGGAAUCUACUUUUUCGUGGGGGAUAACGUAGGGAAACUUACGCUAAUACCGCAUACGACCUACGGUUGAAAGCAGGGGAUCUUCGGACCUUGCGCGAUUGAAUGAGCCGAUGUCGGAUUAGCUAGUUGGCGGGGUAAAGGCCCACCAAGGCGACGAUCCGUAGCUGGUCUGAGAGGAUGAUCAGCCACACUGGAACUGAGACACGGUCCAGACUCCUACGGGAGGCAGCAGUGGGGAAUAUUGGACAAUGGGCGCAAGCCUGAUCCAGCCAUACCGCGUGGGUGAAGAAGGCCUUCGGGUUGUAAAGCCCUUUUGUUGGGAAAGAAAAGCAGCAGGUUAAUACCCCGCUGUUCUGACGGUACCCAAAGAAUAAGCACCGGCUAACUUCGUG
rnacentral:rRNA from 1 species